AUGGAGAAGGUGGAAGGAUUACUGCAGAAGUUGAACCUUUCGGAGGCGGAGACGAAGGGAGUGAGGAUUGGAAGAGGGGAAGGGGGGAAGGGGACGGCUGCAGACCCCCAAGCCAUGGGUAAGGUGUUGGCGGAGAAGCCAGUUUAUGUUGAAGGCAUGAUCAAAUCCCUCGGGAGAGCCUGGUGUCCGCUAAAAGGGAUAAAGUGCAAGGAUCUGGGUGAAAAUGUGUUUCUAUUCACUUUUCUGCAUGCUUCAGGUAAAAGAAAAGCGCCUGGGAAUGUCCCUUGGAUGGUGGGGAAGGAUCUGAUAGUUUUGGAGGAUUUUGACCCGCUGAAGACUAUCGAAGAGUAUGAAUUCAAGUAUAUUCCGACCUGGGCCAGAGUCAUGAAAAUGCCACUAGGUCUGAUGAAUGAGGACAAUGGAGAAAGUAUUGGUAACCAAAUUGGUGAUACGCUGGAGGUGGAGAUUGGAGAGGAUGAUUCGGCAAUAGGUAGCUUUCUAAGAGUGAAGGUGAAACUGGACAUAUCCAUGCCUCUCCUACGGGGUGUUACGUUGGACAUUAAGAGGGAGAAGGAAAAAGCUAGGGGUACCUAUAUAGAGAUGGAAGUGGACAAGGAUAAAAAGAAGAGAGAUGAUCAGAAGCUAUGUCCUCUAGAGUAUGAAUAUUUGCCAGAUUUUUGUUACACAUGUAGAAUCAUAGGUCACGUGGACAAGUUAUGUUCCACCAAAUUGGCAAGGGGCGAGAUCUAG
rnacentral:rRNA from 1 species